CCUACGGGAGGCAGCAGUGGGGAAUUUUGCGCAAUGGGCGAAAGCCUGACGCAGCCACGCCGCGUGAUUGAUUAAGCCCUUCGGGGUGUAAAGAUCUGUCAGUGGGGACGAAACUUGUCGGUACCCACAGAGGAAGCACCGGCUAACUCCGUGCAAGAAGCCGCGGUAAUACGGAGGGUGCAAGCGUUGUCCGGAAUCAUGGGGCGUAAAGAGUUCGUAGGUGGCAUAUUAAGUCUGGUGUGAAAUGCAGAGGCUCAACUUCUGUUCUGCACUGGAUACUGGUAAGCUUGAAGGCGGUAGAGGGAGAUGGAAUUCCUGGUGUAGCGGUGAAAUGCGUAGAGAUCAGGAGGAACAUCGGUGGCGUAGGCGCUUUACUGGACCGUAAUUGACACUGAGGUACGAAAGCCUGGGUAGCAAAUAGGAUUAGAUACCCGGGUAGUC
rnacentral:rRNA from 1 species